GCUUACGGCCACACGGCUGAGUACGCCUGAUCUCGUCCGAUCUCGGAAGCUAAGCAGGGUCGGGCCUGGUUAGUACUUGGAUGGGAGACCGCCUGGGAAUACCAGGUGCUGUAAGCU
ensembl:rRNA 5S_rRNA 5S ribosomal RNA